rnacentral:rRNA from 1 species
UACAGAGGUCCCAAGCGUUGUUCGGAUUCAUUGGGCGUAAAGGGUGCGUAGGCGGCGCGGUAAGUCGGGUGUGAAAUCUCGGAGCUUAACUCCGAAACUGCAUUCGAUACUGCCGUGCUUGAGGACUGGAGAGGAGACUGGAAUUUACGGUGUAGCGGUGAAAUGCGUAGAUAUCGUAAGGAAGACCAGUGGCGAAGGCGGGUUGCUGGGCUGACACUGACGCUGAAGCGCGAAAGCUAGGGGAGCGAACGGG